AGUAGCAGAAUUUCUAUGUAUGUAGCUGCAAACAGAUUUGAAGUUUUGGCCAAUUUGUCACAGUUAAUGGGUGUAUUAACCCAAACAGACUGCAUGUGAUUGCCAGAUUGGCCCCAUUCAACAGCAAACUGAGAGCAGGCCGACUGUCUGAUUGCUGUUUGAUCGCCAUCUUGAUGUGGCAAAGCUGCUUUGAGCUGAAUCUGAGUGGCCGCAGACCCGAUCCCCAUCUUUGAAGUAACUAUUUCAAAGUCUGUGGAUCCAGCUUGCUAACUAGGCUAGCCAGGGUUAGCUGAUAACGUAACAGCCCAUUCCUGUAAAGAUGAUGGUGAUGGCCAUCAGGUUUAAAGUGAGGAACUUUUUGGCUUUGCACCAAAAACUUGGACUCGAUGCUGACCAAGUAAGAGCACUCACAAAAAUAUGUUGCCGCAGCACAUUUCAGAGCUGGUUGCAGUUUUCCCGCUGCACUCUUUUCUACAAAGGACAACUUCACAUGAACGACGGUGUGAUUUAUGUCAGUAGGUUUUCUCGUCUUCUGUUACGAUGAGAAGGGAAAAUGCAAUACUGGCUCUAUUAAAGGUGCUACUCGCAGAUCUUCUCCUGGAUUUCUGCUUCUGUUAAAUGACACAGCCACAUCACAGCUCUGCGGUUUAAUCUCUGAAAUGCUGUGAGGCCACUCUCUGGUUCAGUGCAGAUUAUAAAUGGAACAUGCUGCAGUUCUUGUUCAAGUCUUUGUGGUUGUUAUAUUUGUGUGAAACUGAAGAAUAAGACAUUCUUUGUGCAGAUUUUUUACUCAGUCCCAGGAAUUCUCACCCAAAACUGGGAUAUCUGAACAUGAUAAAGCUCUCUUAUAACUUUUUACCUGUGAUUUUGCUGAAUGAUGAACAGAAAAAUGUAGUGCUUUGCCCCCAAAAACAUUGGCACAUACAACAAAAAAUCAUCCAUCCAUCCUAAAAACCAUCAGUCCAUCCAUCCAUCCCCUUAAGUACUCAUCCACCUUAAGAUCACAGGGAAGCCUAAGGAGCCUAUCCAUGAUCAUAAACUAAGAAAGUCAAUCAGCUACAUUAAAUGGAAAGUGAAAUAAAAGCAGUAAGAAAAAAACUGACUAGACUUUGAAUUAGUCCACAUGGUCUUAAUGAUGUUCUAUCCAGGCCAUGUGUUUUAUUCAUUUAUGUAUUUUUUUGACUGUUUGGAUUGAUGGUUAUUGGAGUCCAGCUGGGACUGGACUCCAAUAACUGUUCCAAUAACUGUUCAUCCUGUUCAUUUUUACACAUUGACAUCCUGUUCAUUUUUACAUAUGAACAGGAUGUCAAUGUGAGGAAGAUCUGUUUGAGAAUCAUGUUUCAGAUUUUUGUGUGGACGACACGAUUGCUGAGUUGGGGGAGAGUUGGUGUCCAAAGCAAAGGAGAAGUGGACCAGAAGAGGGAAGUUGCAGAUACAAAUGGCAGAAACUAGCUUCAUCUGUUGGGUGUCUGGACUUUUAGAGAGCUCAGAUAUCUGGACGAGCCUCAGAGUAUGGUUGCAGGCCUUUCACAUUAAAAGAAGCUGGGUGAGGUGGUUCAUACAUCUGAGUGUAAAGAGACCCUGGGAUGGAUCAAAAUUUGCCUAAGAUGCUUCAGGAUGAACUUGAAAACAUCGGAAGUAAACA